AAAAAAAAUUAGAAAAAAAAUAAAACAUCCACCUCUUAUAUAUCUCCUUCCAGGUACCUAGCGGAGGGCUCAUACCAAGAAAACCUAGAAGUGAAACAGGAAUGCAGACCCUUUGAGAAUAACUGCAUGAGCUCAGCUGGAGCCAGCAGCUCAGAUCGGCAUUCUAGAACUCAGAAACAUGGUGGAGAGCCGCUUCACCAGCACCAUCUGCUUUGGGAUCCAGCGUGCUUAGCGUUUCCCCGGGACUCUCUCUCUCCAUACAGAAGAGGAGAGUGAUGUCUCUGGAUUUCUGUUUCUUCCUGUGAACCACAUGGACCGGAUGUGGACGUGAGAGCUUGCUGUCUGUGUGGUCAGUUUGAGUUAUCAGAGACCCUAGGCUGGGUGAUUGCACCAGCAGACUUCCUCACGGAUGCGAGAGCUGGGAGAUCUGAGAAGAAGAUGCCAGCAUGGUGGGUUUCUGGUGAGAGCUCGCUUCCCAGCUGGCAGGAUAGCCACCUGCUCACUGUAUCUUC
rnacentral:lncRNA from 1 species